AGCGAACGCUGGCGGCAGGCCUACACAUGCAAGUCGAACGAACUCUUCGGAGUUAGUGGCGGACGGGUGAGUAACACGUGGGAACGUGCCUUUAGGUUCGGAAUAACUCAGGGAAACUUGUGCUAAUACCGAAUGUGCCCUUCGGGGGAAAGAUUUAUCGCCUUUAGAGCGGCCCGCGUCUGAUUAGCUAGUUGGUGAGGUGACGGCUCACCAAGGCGACGAUCAGUAGCUGGUCUGAGAGGAUGACCAGCCACACUGGGACUGAGACACGGCCCAGACUCCUACGGGAGGCAGCAGUGGGGAAUCUUGCGCAAUGGGCGAAAGCCUGACGCAGCCAUGCCGCGUGAAUGAUGAAGGUCUUAGGAUUGUAAAAUUCUUUCACCGGGGACGAUAAUGACGGUACCCGGAGAAGAAGCCCCGGCUAACUUCGUGCCAGCAGCCGCCGUAAUAC
rnacentral:rRNA from 1 species